rnacentral:rRNA from 1 species
GCCCCGGCUAACUACGUGCCCAGCAGCCGCGGUAAUACGUAGGGGGCGAGCGUUGUCCGGAAUCAUUGGGCGUAAAGGGUACGUAGGCGGCUAAUUAAGUUAGGAGUGAAAAGCCAUAGCUCAACUAUAGUAAGCUUUUAAAACUGUCAUACUUGAGACAUUGAGGGGAAAGUGGAAUUUCUAGUGUAGCGGUGAAAUGCGCAGAUAUUAGGAAGAAUACCAGAGGCGAAAGCGACUUUCUAGCGAUGCUCUGACGCUGAGGUACGAAAGCGUGGGAAGCAAACAGGAUUAGAUACCCUGGUAGUCCACGCCGUAAACGAUGAGUGUUAGAUGUCCGAGGUAAACUUGGGUGUCACAAGCCAACGCGAUAAACACUCCGCCUGGGGAGUACGUACGCA